ensembl:lncRNA
GGUGACACUUAAUUGCACAAACAAGAAAACUCAGUCAGAACACAUAACUGACUUCUACAAAGAUGGUUUAUCUCUUGGGACCUGGUAUCAAAGCAGCAUGAAAAUCAAAAAUGUCUCCAAGUCUGAUGAAGGACUCUACAAGUGCAGCAUAUCUGGAGCUGGAGAAUCACCAGAGAGCUGGCUAGCUGUAAUACAACAAUGUGAAGCCUUUCCAGUGCCUCACAAAGAGACUGAUCUUUCACACAGUCACUUACCUGAAAAAGGCAUUCUGCUGUGGACUGUUAUCUGUGCUUUAUCGGCGGCAAUAUUGCUGUUGGUGGUGGGCCUGCUUCUUCAUAAGAGGCAGAAAGUAUCAGCUUGUUUUUCAUCAGAACAGGUUUCACACUCAGAGGAAGACAACACCGGCCAGGAAGACAAGAACACCACUGACCCACAUCAAGCGGCAUAUGUCGUGGUCAGAAAACAAAGGACUACUAAAAGUAAAUUUUUAGUAGUCCUUUAUACUUUAUGCCUAAAUGAAUUAAAUACUUAAAUAAAUAACAGCAUGUGACAAAGAGCAUUUUAGUGUUUCGGUUUUAUCUUAUAUUUGUCGUUAGAUGGAAAUUAAUUUUAUCUGCCUAUGAACUUUUUAAGAAUGUCAGCAUUUGUGUAAGUAUCUCUUUCUCCAGUCAUUGUAAUUAUAAAUAGCAUCAAUAAAAG